rnacentral:lncRNA from 1 species
GCUACCACUUUCCCUUGGGAUAAAACUAAUAACGAUACCUUGGAAUACUCAUCCUUGGUGAAGUGCUACAUUAGUACAUUCUGUGCACUUGUGGAAUAACUUAAUAGACAUAAGAAUUACCCCACGGGCCUUAAUAGUGCCGUUGCCAAUCUUUGGUAGCGAUAUUAAGAAUUAUCAACAGCAGGUUGAACACAAAAAGAAGGAAUGAUCAAAACAACAAUGUUGCAAAAAUUUGAGAAAGACAUCAUUCAACAACAGAGUACACAUUGGCGGAUGUCCUGACAUCUACACUAAUCUUUUGAUGUCAAGUGACAUAAAAGUCAUAGUGUGGCGGAAGUCGUGUGAUUCGUCCCUACCAUCUCUUAGGCCUCUGCUAGUUUGGCACGCUAGAUUGGACUCUCUCUACCCAUUCUUCAUCCUCAUGUGAUUGAUAUGUUGAAAAUGUUACAUGUUAAAAUCAAACUUAAAAAUAUUGCUUUGUUCUUACAAGUUUGAUCUAUUGAAAAGUGCCAAAUACUGAAAUCAAACUUAAAUAGUGAGAUAUAACCUUGCCAACCUAUGAACAUGAGUUUAAAAAGGUUCGCUAGCAUACACUUUAUUCCAAGUUCAUAUAAUUGCUACUUGUGGACAUAUCUUAUAUUAGGAAAACAUGUUAAGUUGUUGAAAUGUAUGAUAUAGUAUACUCAAAAAAUCCUAUCUUUCUACAUAAGCUCUUGGAGAUUUAUAUUUUCAUAAAAUAUUAAAACCAUUAGCCUCACAUCUCCACACUGGUGUUAUUUCCUACCAGAGCCAAAUACCAUGCCACAUUUUAAAAACCUUCAACAUAUGCUACUUCUUUUUGUAUUGAGUUUUGUCAAACUUUGUUGACCUCUAAUGAGAAUUUUAUCAUGUUAAGACCAAGGUCAUGAACACUCCACCAAAUAUAUGCUACACUUCUACACUAGAAGUGAGCAAAAACAUGUCUAUCCAUUACCAUCAAUUAAAUACUCCCUGUUGCUAGUAUGAGAUCUUUCUCCAUCCUACCCAUGAGGUAUGGGCAAUUAUUGAAAAAAAGAAACAACAUGUGCUCUAAGGAAAAAAGAGAGAGGACAAAAUGUCCCAUGUGAGAGAGUGAAAACAAUGGGUUUUCCAUGAGAGAAAAAAGUGAGGACACAUUUUUGGUCCUAAGAAAAAACAAAAAAAAGGCCCUGCUCUCAGCGAAAGAAUGGAGAAGGAAUCAUUACUAUGGAGUAAUCCCAGUCAUUCCACUUCCACACACAUGCACACCUUGAUCCGAGUGUAUUACAUUUUUCUCCAUGAAUCCGAUGUUUCACUUAGCAAUUUAUGCAAUGCAAGUAUGCUUCACUCUAUCCUACCUAAAGCUCCAUAUACGCCUAUAAGGGGUAGGAAGUAAGGAAAUACAUCAAUGCCUUGGGUAAGGAUAUUUAUACACCAUUGAGCAACUUGAGAAGUAUGAGCUAUGUUUUUAAUUUCAAAAAAAAACAAAAAAACUCCAAGUAUGCUUCAUAGGGGAUAUUGAUGACUUGGUGUCAUGCUGUUCCACUCUUCGACAACUCAUGGUGAGAUGGUAGCCACUACAAAAUCGAUAGGUAUGAGGAAUGAUUUGGAAUAUCUUUUAUGCUAGCAUCAUAUCUUUUGAAGUCUUGUUUCAUAUUAAGUUGCACCAGAAUCUUUAUACUCCCAGUUUGCUCGAGACGAGCAAAGGUUUAGUGUGGGUAGCUUGAUGAUAGUCCUUGAUUAUUAAUUUUGACCAUCAACAUUGCAUUAAUUAAUAUGGGGUAAAAACAACAUAAGUAGUCAUUUAUGUUUGUAAUUGACCAAGUUCCACUUGUAGUUAGAGAUAUUUGCUCAUGCAGGAAAACUAUAGAGAAAAUAUCAAAUAAUCAAGAUUAGGAGCAAUUGGAGCAAGGUGGGCCACUAGGGCCCAUUUGACGGUGGCGCAUGCACCUCAAGGAUGGCACCCACCUUGGCAUUUCCUGUGCCAUGUCACCUAUCUAUGGAAAGUCCAAGAAACACACUACCGUGCCAACUCCACCC